rnacentral:rRNA from 1 species
CCAGGCCUAACACAUGCAAGUCGAGCGGAAACGACACUAACAAUCCUUCGGGUGCGUUAAUGGGCGUCGAGCGGCGGACGGGUGAGUAAUGCCUAGGAAAUUGCCUUGAUGUGGGGGAUAACCAUUGGAAACGAUGGCUAAUACCGCAUGAUGCCUACGGGCCAAAGAGGGGGACCUUCGGGCCUCUCGCGUCAAGAUAUGCCUAGGUGGGAUUAGCUAGUUGGUGAGGUAAUGGCUCACCAAGGCGACGAUCCCUAGCUGGUCUGAGAGGAUGAUCAGCCACACUGGAACUGAGACACGGUCCAGACUCCUACGGGAGGCAGCAGUGGGGAAUAUUGCACAAUGGGCGCAAGCCUGAUGCAGCCAUGCCGCGUGUAUGAAGAAGGCCUUCGGGUUGUAAAGUACUUUCAGUUGUGAGGAAGGGGGUGUUGUUAAUAGCAACAUCUCUUGACGUUAGCAACAGAAGAAGCACCGGCUAACUCCGUGCCAGCAGCCGCGGUAAUACGGAGGGUGCGAGCGUUAAUCGGAAUUACUGGGCGUAAAGCGCAUGCAGGUGGUUCAUUAAGUCAGAUGUGAAAGCCCGGGGCUCAACCUCGGAACUGCAUUUGAAACUGGUGAACUACAGUACUUGU